rnacentral:tRNA from 1 species
CGUACGGUAGCUCAGUGGUAGAGCGCAGGCACACUAUUACUAGCCUGAUGUCGGUGGUUCAAGUCCACCCUGUACGA